UCUCUGGUGGUCCAGCGGCUAAAACACCAUGCUCUUAAUGUGGGGGGCCUGGGUUCGAUCCCUGGUCAGGGAA
rnacentral:tRNA from 1 species